GAGGCUAGCAGAGGUGCCCGGGGAUGCUGCUUCUCCCCGGCUGUGGGAGAGAAACGCGGAGCAGUGGGCUCCCUACCGCAAGCCAUCAUGAGGCAUAGGGCAUCAGGGUUGGGGUUCAGGAGCUUGGGCAUCAGCCUCACAUUUCUGAACUCCUCCUCCUGCCAUAAACUGGCCGGUGUGACUGACCGUGGCCAAGCUAUUUGAUGACUCCACUUGACACUUGACAACGGAAGUAUGCGUUAGCCAUCUCAGAGGGAGAGGCCCAGUGGCCAGUGGAAGGAGACAAGGAGGAGAAUAAAAAGGCAAGGAGAGAAAAGAGGUGGUAGAAGAGGGGACAGAGGACGGAGCUGAGGCCGUGACAAUGGUUGAUAAGCUCUGGGCAACAGCCCACACAGUGAAGCCGAGCCUGGACAGCCACUGUAUAUAUACACGACGGAACACAGUUCCAAGUUCAGCACCUGAUUUUGCUACACAGCCCCACGCUCUGAAGCAGAAGUCCAGCUUCAGUCCUGGAAGUGCUCAAUUCUAGCCUGUGG